rnacentral:lncRNA from 1 species
UGAUAAGAUUGUCUAGUCGUAGUAUAGCCCAUUUUGCAAGUGAGAGAAAUGAGUUGGUUAAAGAGGUUCAUAGAUUAGCCCAUUUAGGAGUUUGUUUGCUUGAUGCAGAUGAUGGGGGCUUGAUAGUGCAAAAUGAUUCAAAUUCACUCUUGUGGCAAAUGUGAAAGAAAACAAGCAUGAUGAUCCUACUAUAAGUCAGUUGAUUGAUGCAGUCCACCAACAGAAGGUGGAGAUUUUCUCCUAAGGAGGAGAUAGUGUUCCUCUCUAUCAAGG